rnacentral:misc_RNA from 1 species
GAUGAAGAACGUAGCGAAAUGCGAUAAGUAAUGUGAAUUGCAGAAUUCAGUGAAUCAUCGAAUCUUGAACGCACCUUGCGCUCUUUGGUAUUCCGAAGAGCAUGCCUGUUUGAGUGUCAUGAAAAUAUCAACCUUGACUUGGGUUUUGUGCUCUAGUCUCGGCUUGGAAUUGGGUGCUUGCCGCUUUUACGAGCGGCUCACCUUAAAUGUAUUAGCUGGAUCUGUCUUUGAGACUUGGUUUGACUUGGCGUAAUAAGUAUUUCGCUAAGGACAUUCUUCGGAGUGGCCUCGUUUCUAGGACGCUUGUCCGCUUUCCAAUACAAGUUCCACCUCGUGGACAUGACUUUUUAUUAUCUGGCCUCAAAUCAGGUAGGACUACCCGCUGAACUUAAGCAUAUCAAUAAGCGGAGGA